rnacentral:rRNA from 1 species
ACAGAGGUCCCAAGCGUUGUUCGGAUUCACUGGGCGUAAAGGGUGCGUAGGUGGUUCGUUAAGUCUGUCGUGAAAGCCCCGGGCUCAACCUGGGAAUGGCGAUGGAUACUGGCGGGCUAGAGUGCGGUAGAGGAGAGUGGAAUUCCCGGUGUAGCAGUGAAAUGCGUAGAGAUCGGGAGGAACAUCAGUUGCGAAGGCGG